AUGAAGAUAACAGGGAAGCCUUACCUGGCGAUUCGAAGGCGCAGGAGACAGCAACAGCUCGAGCACUCCCGGAGAAUUCUCUCUUCGUCCUCCUCUCAGUCUCUUCCCCUCUGUUCGUGUGUUUCUGUUUGUUGGGUUUCCUUACUUACCGUCUGCUCUCCUCUGCUUUCCUUUUCUGUUCGUGUUCUCUGCCUUCUCCCCUCUGC
rnacentral:lncRNA from 1 species